rnacentral:rRNA from 1 species
UGAGGGAAAGUUGCAAAGAACUUUGAAGAGAGAGUUCAAGAGUACGUGAAACUGCUCAGAGGCAAACGGGUGGGCCCUCGAAAUCCACAUGCGAGGGGAUUCAGUCGGUGGGCGAAGGGUGGUUGGCGUCCGUCUGCGACCGUGGAGGCGCGCGGAUGCCGACACCUUUAGCCGGCCGACGCACUUCCUCUCGCACUGAGGACGCUGCAGCCGGUUCGGCGUCGGCCAUGAGGACUUGCGAUGGCAGGUGACCAGUUUCCGCCCCGCGGUUUCUGGUUGUUAGCCGGCUCGUCCGAGAGCGCGACGCGGGACCGAGGCGAUGGAACCUUCCGGUUCCGGCCGUGUCCUCGCCACAGCGAGCGGGACGUCUGCGUCAGGGGCUGUGUGGUCGCGAGGGGUGCCACGGUCGACCGUGGCCCUCUCCUUCUGCCCUUCGAUGGGCGUGGUGAUCCCGCGGCGACGGUACGCGGGCUGGCAGCGAGUAGGUCGGUCACCCACCCGACCCGUCUUGAAACACGGACCAAGGAGUCUAACAUGUGCGCGAGUCGCAGAGUCUUGAACAGGCUCUCGGGCGCAAUGAAAGUGAAGGUCGAUCUGGUCGACCGUGUUGGGAAGUGCAGUCUCCGGACGGCACCGCACCAACGACCUGUCCCGUCCGAUUCAUCGGUGGGGCGGAGUCAGAGCGUACACGUUGGGACCCGAAAGAUGGUGAGCUAUGCCCGGGCAGGACGAAGCCAGAGGAAACUCUGGUGGAGGUCCGCAGCGGUUCUGACGUGCAAUCGAUCGUCAGACCUGG